CUUAGUGGCGGACGGGUGAGUAACGCGUGGGUAACCUGCCCCAUACCGGGGGAUACCACCUGGAAACAGGUGCUAAUACCGCAUAAGCGCACGGGAGCGCAUGCUCCUGUGUGAAAAACUCCGGUGGUAUACGAUGGAUCCGCGUCUGAUUAGCUUGUUGGCGGGGUAACAGCCCACCAAGGCGACGAUCAGUAGCCGGCCUGAGAGGGUGAACGGCCACAUUGGGACUGAGACACGGCCCAAACUCCUACGGGAGGCAGCAG
rnacentral:rRNA from 1 species